UCCACUGCUCCACACAGGCUUCGUCUCUGCCCGCUCUCCUUGCGAAGUCUUCCGGUACGGAGAACUUCAGCCAAUCCUCCUUUUCUCCUCAUUCCCUGUUAGAUCCUGUUUGCUACGUAUCACAUAUUUUUGUUUUCUCAGAUGCUGGACGCUUGGAUGCUAAAGUUUGUGUUUCUUUGUUGAUUCUCCUUCUCAGGGUGCUGGAUGACUUGGAUACUACAGCUGGUGUCUUUGUGCAUUUUUCCUUGCUGCGUACUGAUACAUACUCUUCUUAUCUGUUGCUAAAACUAUUUUCGUUUAUUUGCCUGAAUGAACAAAUACGGUUUGCAAGUUUGUGCUUUUUUGUUGAUUCUCUCUUAUUUUGUUUUUCUCAGGUACUGCACACCUUGGAUGCUAAAGUUUGUGUUUUCUUUGUUGAGUUUCCCUCUCAGGGUGCUGGCCAACUUGGAUGCUAAGGUUAGUGUUUUAGUUGAUUCUUCCUUGCUGCAUAUCGCUACGUAUUCAUCUUAUAUAUUGCUAAAUCUGUUUUUUAUUUGUUUGCUUGAAUGAUAUUGCCAGCUCAAUCAUCCAAGUAUAGUAACUGGUCGGUUGACGGUCGAUCAAUGCAUCGUCUUAGUUAUAUAAUUUACUUUUGUCAAAUCUUAUUCCAAAUUUCCGUGAAGCAUAUCUCAGUCACCUACUCAGUAUCUAUUUUCUUCUGUUUCAAAUUCUGAGUGAAAUGAUUGUGCAUGAUAGCCAGAAAUCCAUUAUUUGACAAUACCACUACAGCCACUGGUCACCAUCUUCCCAUGAUUCCAUCUCAUCUUGAUUUUAAACAUUAGAUUCGAUCCAAUCUUUCACUUCCUUUGUUCUUGCAAUUGUUUUGCUGGUACAAGCAUAUGUUUCUUUCAGUUCUCUCAUUUAUCUCUCCGUCUUUAUUGCUAAAGUAUUAACCGAAGGUUCUCUUCACAAUAUAUAAUGAACAAGUGGUAUCAAUUUCUCUCAUUUGCAGGAGAUUUUCAAGCAAUAGAAGAAAGGUGUUGAUGGAUUCUGGAGAUGACCACCUCUCUCUCAACAGUCACUCAAGUAGCAGCUUCUGGAAUUGGUCGCUGGUCUCUCUCUCUCUCUCAACUUUUUUUUUUGAAUUUUGUCUUAUACCAUGUGUAUAAGGUGCCGUUUAUUUUGUUUGAGCGAAGAUCCUUGCCCAAACCGUCCAUGAUAGUGCUGUGUAGAAACAGGUCACUUGGUCGCCCAUCAACUGUGUUAAAAUGUAAUAAUACCACUAUAUGCAGUAUGUGAUUUUGGUUAAAAAAAGCUUAGUUGUUUUGGCCUAUGAUGUUCCAUGCUUUCUCAUCUCCUUCGUUAUAUAUAUUAGAUAUUAAAAGUUGCUAAGCUGCAUUCAAUCAGAAAUCUUAGGUUCCUCUUCCAGACAGUGGCUAAUAGUACUCAUGACAUAUGUAUGUUUUCUAUCUUGCUUGCAGUUAAGUAUCGUGGAUCAACA
rnacentral:lncRNA from 1 species